UGUCAACCGGAUCUGAGAACCUCUGACUGAUCUACAGGGCAGGGAAUAUAAAAUUCUGGAUCCUCUCCUAAUCACCUGGAAAGAGUGUCUCCAUACUGAAUGUGAUGAUUUCCUUCAUUUUACAGAUGAGGAACAUCAGACCUGGAGGGGGUAAAUAAUCUACUUGGGGUCACACAGCUAGCAAGUGACACAAUAGGAUUCUGUGACAGAGACUCUUAGUUGCCUACCCAGUAUUCAUUCCCUUCGUCUUCCUGAGUCCAUGGAACCCUGUAUUGCUGACUGUAGCAGUUUUCCAACCUACAAAACUACUUCUACCAGCCUGCUAAGGAGAUACAAGUAAAACUUAUUGGGUGGGGUUUCUAGGAAAGCUCUUUAAAGAGGACUCAACUGCACAGAAUAUCCUUUUGCCUUUAUCAUAUUCCUCCCCCCUUGUACCAGGGACAAGGAUGUGUAACUCACAGCAGCCAUUAUGGGCCACGAGGUUAUCUUGAGAAUGGAAUCCAUGCACUGAGAAUAAUGGAGCAGAAAAGUAGAUGGAAUCUCAGUUCCCAACAAUAGAGUCAUCAUCUGAGAUUUUGAUCUCACGCCUCCUCCUUUAUCUGAGAAAAACAAAAAAACCUCUUGUCUUGUUUAAACCACUGUUACCGUAGGUCUCUAGAACUAGUCCCAGAAUACAUGACAAAAUUAUUAUCUUAACUGAUACAAUUUCCAUCUUGAUCUUCUUGUUUCUCUCUCCUUACCAUAAGGCUAUAAUUCAUUUUGUUAACAUGAGGUUCCCUUAGGAUACCUAGAUUCUUGUUAUUUUGUAUUUUAUUAUAAUAUGACCUUGGACAAAUCA